rnacentral:lncRNA from 1 species
AGCCAUCUUUUUCAUCAAAAUCAAAUCAAAUUUUAUUGGUCACAUGCAGAUGUUAUUGCGAGUGUAGCGAAAUGCUUGUCAUAGCUUGCAUCAGCUAUAAUAAAUCAAGAUUUAUUCACAAUCACAAUGACAUAAGAAGGCUUAGAAAUAAGAGUUUGGCAUUUUGAUAGAAAUGUCUACAUCAGGGUGACUGUCCUUACCUUAAGUGGUAUGGCCACCAAUGGAGUUUGCCUGUGGGUUUGUCUUCACCCCUCCAUCAACCUAUCAGGGGGAAGUCAAAAGGAAAUCACUAAUUGCAAUUAAACGUUCAGCUCCCCUCCCUCCCCCAAACAGAGCGUGUCCCUGCAGUCCUACCCCUCCAGCACCCUCCUCAGAAUCUCAAAAACAACAGCCCCCUUUCCAGAGCAGAAAAUCACAUGGUGAUUUUGGUGAGGUGAAGAGAGCUCCCAACUCCUCGCCACUGUUUGAGAAUGCAGCCUUCCAUCUUAGCUCUACUUCCUUCAUCCAUGCGAUCUCAAUCACCUGCUUACAUCCAGCCAAUCCCAGGCACCCCUUCCCUUCCAGUAACCAGAGGCUGACCUUCCGAAGGAGGAACCAGACAUUGGGGGUUAUCCAUGGGAUCCAGACUACUCAUACAUUAUCGCAGAAGGCAGUGGGGAAGGGAUGAAGCAUUUAAACACCACCGUCAACAGAUGACUGGUCAAUGUGCUUCAAAGAGACAUUCUUUGGUAGGCUUAAAGCUAGUAUAAUCAGACAAUACUGGCAUUCAUGCUAUCCACAUAUUAAGAUGCCAACAAAACAAAGACUCUUGCAUGUGAUGACAGACGAAGAUAUGGCAAAGAUUAUGAUGACAACCAGAGCAUGAAUUGCACAGUGACAUUCGAAGUGGUCUCUAUUGAGUGGAAAAAAUGUAUGGGCCUAAUAGUAAAGACAAUUUAACGGGAAAAAUAAUUUACCAUUUUAAUGUAGCAUGAACACAACAGUCAUGAUACUUUCAUCUAAUCACUUCAAAAAGUAGGCUUACCUACCUGUGCAUGUUCGUCCACACCAAAAUAAUCAAACAGUGCAAUGGAUGUACACUUGCGCAAUUAGAUUAAUGGAAUUAGAUAUCUGUUUACAAAACACCAAAAAGUGUGCCUAAUGACGUCGGACGAUUGUCAUUGAUUAGGCCUACGUUAAUUGAUGCAGCUUACUGACAAAUUCACCUUUUUUGUAUCCUGAAAAGUCGGGACACCCCCCAAAUGGGUCUGAAACUGUCCAGAGAAAACCGGGAUGGUCACCAUAAAACACACAGUCAUUUUACUGGACUAGGCUACAAUGUGUAGGCCUAUUACCAUGAACUUCAACUGGGGAUACCGGUAGCCAUUAAUGUAGUGGUAAAAAAAAAAAUUGGUGGCCAUUUUUCAAAAAAAAUGUGGGUAAACUGCGUUUACUUGUGUUCACCUUCCACUAGACCUACACCACUGCCGGUAGCCUACCUUCUCAGCAGAGGCAAUUUUACACACAUGAACACGUGCGGAACAGGUACCCUACAUUCAAUAUAAUACACCAGUUGAAUCAAAACAUGUUUGUACCAUAGUUCAUGAGUUGUCCAUAAUUCAUUAAUUGAAUGCUUGGAGUCUUCACAGAUCGUGUGACACAACACACUACUUUCCUUUCCUUACAUUGACAUUCAUGACAGUGUUAUUUGUAAUUAUUAGAACAUCAGAACAUUGAAGUUAAAACCUGUAUGAUUCCUGGAUCUUGGAAAUCUCUGAAAAUACACUGUAAGUGUAACUGUGCCUAUGUAACAUUUCAUUAUGUUUAGACGUAAAAACAGUUACCAAAAGAGUCAACUAUAGGCCUACUGUCAUUGAUGAUGGAUGGAUUGGAUGGAUUGGAUGCACAUUCGUGUCUAGCUGUAGGAUAGUUGUCUAGUGAUAUUGGCGGCCAUCAUCCGCUGAUCCAGGAAACAAAAUAUUGAUAGAAAAUAAUAAAGAAAAAUAAAUGGUAUACUUCUUAUGGCCACGGACGGCAUAGACAACACCAAUACCCGCGCGCACCUGAAAAACAAAGCAAUGAGCGCUCUAGACAGCUGACUGACAAAAGCAAACUGAUAAAGCAACAGAUACAUCUAAUGCAUUGGAAUAAAGGCUAUUUUUUAAAUCAAGGACGAAUGGCAAACAAACAGCAAAAAUGAGCAAGUACAAGGGAAAAUUGAUGCGUUUAAAGGAGCUCAGCUGAGGUCAAAUUCGGCGGAAUAUACAGACGGUAUAUACAGCCACAUAGAAGUAAAUGGUUUAAAUCAUGACAGAGUUGUUUAAUUUGGAAGCUUUUAUUUUCAUAUUUACCACUGUAAAACAUAUUUGCAUUUAGAGGAGCUAAUGUCUCAUUCAGGGCAGCUGAGCCUCCCCCGGCUCCCCCGUAAUUUGCACACUGAAGACAACCAGCGUUGACAUAUGACUCUCUAUACUUCUAGCUCCAUCCUUGCCACCAAGACCUUCCUUUGAGGUCCUGUACAGAAUCCCUAGUCUUGUUGCCGGAUUCUUACAUGCUGACCAGACCAGACACGUCGCGUGCGCGAGCGUUGCAAAAUAAAUUCAAUUAUUGUGUUAUUCAACUUGUGUCUGAUCGCAGUGCUCACCAUAAAGGGCUGCAUAGAAGGCUGCACGAUUAAUCGAAUUCAGAUUGAAAUUGAGAUAUUGGCAUGUGCAAUAUCCGUAUCGCGAGUGGCUGCAAUUUUCUCCUUUCUUUGACACUGUUAAUACAACAAAAAAUAGACUACAGUUCCUCCUUCACUGAGAAGCGCUGAAGUCCAUUCAUUCACUCUACAUGCACAUGGCCAAUCACAAGCGGGCUCUCUCACUCGCUGCAUGGCAUGCACAUGCUGGCCAAUCACAAGCGUCCCCGCUUAGAGCAUGCAGUUAGAUGCUGGUGAGGAGAGAAAAGGCAAAACCUCAGCGUGUGUGUCAGAAACACAAGUGUGGUAAGGCUAGAUUAAAAGAAUGUGAUAGGAAUGCCUCCAUAAUAAAUGUUGUUCUGUAUAAUCAAUAUUGUUUUGUUUUAAGUACAGUGGGGCAAAAAAGUAUUUAGUCAGCCACCAUUUGUGCAAGUUCUCCCACCAUAAUAUACAAAUAAAUUCAUUAAAAAUCCUACAAUGUGAUUUUCAGGAUUUUUUUCCCUCAUUUUGUCUGUCAUAUUUAUUUAUUUAUUUACCUUUAUUUAACCAGGUAGGCAAGUUGAGAACAAGUUCUCAUUUACAAUUGCGACCUGUCCAAGAUAAUGCAAAGCAGUUCGACAGAUAAAACGACACAGAGUUACACAUGGAGUAAAAACAAACAUACAGUCAAUAAUGCAGUAUAAACAAGUCUAUAUACAAUGUGAGCAAAUGAGGUGAGAAGGGAGGUAAAGGCAAAAAAGGCCAAGAUGGCAAAGUAAAUACAAUAUAGCAAGUAAAAUACUGGAAUGGUAGUUUUGCAAUGGAAGAAUGUGCAAAGUAGAAAUAAAAAAAUAAUGGGGUGCAAAGGAGCAAAAUAAAUAAAUAAAUUAAAAUUAAAUACAGUUGGGAAAGAGGUAGUUGUUUGGGCUAAAUUAUAGGUGGGCUAUGUACAGGUGCAGUAAUCUGUGAGCUGCUCUGACAGUUGGUGCUUAAAGCUAGUGAGGGAGAUAAGUGUUUCCAGUUUCAGAUUUUUGUAGUUCGUUCCAGUCAUUGGCAGCAGAGAACUGGAAGGAGAGGCGGCCAAAGAAAGAAUUGGUUUUGGGGAUGACUAGAGAGAUAUACCUGCUGGAGCGUGUGCUACAGGUGGGAGAUGCUAUGGUGACCAGCGAGCUGAGAUAAGGGGGGACUUUACCUAGCAGGGUCUUGUAGAUGACAUGGAGCCAGUGGGUUUGGCGACGAGUAUGAAGCGAGGGCCAGCCAACGAGAGCGUACAGGUCGCAAUGGUGGGUAGUAUAUGGGGCUUUGGUGAUAAAACGGAUUGCACUGUGAUAGACUGCAUCCAAUUUGUUGAGUAGGGUAUUGGAGGCUAUUUUGUAAAUGACAUCGCCAAAGUCGAGGAUUGGUAGGAUGGUCAGUUUUACAAGGGUAUGUUUGGCAGCAUGAGUGAAGGAUGCUUUGUUGCGAAAUAGGAAGCCAAUUCUAGAUUUAACUUUGGAUUGGAGAUGUUUGAUAUGGGUCUGGAAGGAGAGUUUACAAUCUAACCAGACACCUAAGUAUUUGUAGUUGUCCACGUAUUCUAAGUCAGAGCCGUCCAGAGUAGUGAUGUUGGACAGGCGGGUAGGUGCAGGCAGCGAUCGGUUGAAGAGCAUGCAUUUAGUUUUACUUGCAUUCAAGAGCAAUUGGAGGCCACGGAAGGAGAGUUGUAUGGCAUUGAAGCUUGCCUGGAGGGUUGUUAACACAGUGUCCAGAGAAGGGCCGGAAGUAUACAGAAUGGUGUCGUCUGCGUAGAGGUGGAUCAGGGACUCACCAGCAGCAAGAGCGACCUCAUUGAUGUAUACAGAGAAGAGAGUCGGUCCAAGAAUUGAACCCUGUGGCACCCCCAUAGAGACUGCCAGAGGUCCGGACAGCAGACCCUCCGAUUUGACACACUGAACUCUAUCAGAGAAGUAGUUGGUGAACCAGGCGAGGCAAUCAUUUGAGAAACCAAGGCUGUCGAGUCUGCCGAUGAGGAUAUGGUGAUUGACAGAGUCGAAAGCCUUGGCCAGAUCAAUGAAUACGGCUGCACAGUAAUGUUUCUUAUCGAUGGCGGUUAAGAUAUCGUUUAGGACCUUGAGCGUGGCUGAGGUGCACCCAUGACCAGCUCUGAAACCAGAUUGCAUAGCAGAGAAGGUAUGGUGAGAUUCGAAAUGGUCGGUAAUCUGUUUGUUGACUUGGCUUUCGAAGACCUUAGAAAGGCACGGUAGGAUAGAUAUAGGUCUGUAGCAGUUUGGGUCAAGAGUGUCCCCCCCUUUGAAGAGGGGGAUGACCGCAGCUGCUUUCCAAUCUUUGGGAAUCUCAGACGACACGAAAGAGAGGUUGAACAGGCUAGUAAUAGGGGUGGCAACAAUUUCGGCAGAUAAUUUUAGAAAGAAAGGGUCCAGAUUGUCUAGCCCGGCUGAUUUGUAGGGGUCCAGAUUUUGCAGCUCUUUCAGAACAUCAG